rnacentral:rRNA from 1 species
UACGAAGGGGGCUAGCGUUGCUCGGAAUCACUGGGCGUAAAGCGCACGUAGGCGGCCUCUUAAGUCGGUGGUGAAAUCCUGGAGCUCAACUCCAGAACUGCCUUCGAUACUGGGAGUCUCGAGUCCGGGAGAGGUGAGUGGAACUGCGAGUGUAGAGGUGAAAUUCGUAGAUAUUCGCAAGAACACCAGUGGCGAAGGCGGCUCACUGGCCCGGUACUGACGCUGAGGUGCGAAAGCGUGGGGAGCAAACAGG